AGUCAGAAGACUGAUCUGCGUUCUGCUGGUAAAUCAUUUCAAAAAGCGUUGUUUCUUCAAUGACAUCAAAGAGGAAUAUCAAGCCACAAAAGGCCCAAACUCAAGAAGCCAAGAAGUUAUCUUCAUAAAGUUUAACUUUUAAGUUUUUUUAAAGUGAAGAAGUUAUCUCUGGAUUUAUAACCUAUAUUACUACAAGCCAAACGAAGCAUGCAAUUGAUUUACUGGUCACGUGAUUCUCUGACAACAGUCUUGAUACGGAGCUUAGUGAAAAUUGCGCUGUUCCCUGGUGUCAUACAUAACACUACUAAAGGUAAGUCGGUUAUUCUUUCUUACCUGUAACAUUUAAACGAAGCACUUAUGAUCCCGUGUUUCACCUCAGAAGCGUUUUGGAGGGCGUGGUUUUGUAAAGUGGGGGCGUGUCUAAUUACAAGGAACAGUCUCAAUAAUAAUUGAAGCAUGGAAUGCAGAGUCUUCGAAUGAUCAGCCAACAGAGAAUCUUAACAAUAAGAUUGGCCACUUCGCCACCAAAAUAAAUCUUACUAUCGGUCAGAAAUGGUCCAGAAGUGAGCUACGCUUUUGCUACAGUGUAGUGUGCGAUGAAUUCUACUGUGGCGAUGACUGCUCUGAUUUCUGCCGUUCACGGGACGACGCUGACAGCAGAAUUUGCUUGCCUGGAUGGAUUGCGCAGAGCAUAACUAUCUGCUUGUCUGAAUGUAGUGUGGAACAUGGUUAUUGUGUGGUCCCUGGUCAGUGCAACUGCUGGUAUGGAUGGCAGGGCCCCCGCUGUGAGGAGUGCUUACCUUACCCAGGGUCCCAACUUGGCACCUGCAAACAUCCCUGGGAGUGCAGGUGUGAGAAGGGAUGAGGAGGCCUGCUGUGUGACAAGGAUCUUAAUGUUUGAAUUUAUAUAUUCAGUGUUUUCCUGGUUAGGUGUGUUUCAUUUAGGCUAUAAUGGGCUGUUAUGGUUGAGAAACCACUUGUAAAAUAAACUAAACUAAAUAAAUAACAAUGUCCUAUUUCUUUGGAUUAU